UACGAAGGGGGCUAGCGUUGCUCGGAAUCACUGGGCGUAAAGCGCACGUAGGCGGGUCGUUAAGUCGGAGGUGAAAUCCUGGAGCUCAACUCCAGAACUGCCUUCGAUACUGUAGAGCUUGAGUUCGGGAGAGGUGAGUGGAACUGCGAGUGUAGAGGUGAAAUUCGUAGAUAUUCGCAAGAACACCAGUGGCGAAGGCGGCUCACUGGCCCGAUACUGACGCUGAGGUGCGAAAGCGUGGGGAGCAAACAGG
rnacentral:rRNA from 1 species